GCACAAGCGGUGGAUGAUGUGGUUAAUUCGAUGCAACGCGAAAACCUUACCCACCUUUGACAUGGCAGGAAUCCCGAAGAGAUUUGGGAGUGCUCGAAAGAGAACCUGCACACAGGUGCUGCAUGGCUGUCGUCAGCUCGUGCCGUGAGAUGUUGGGUUAAGUCCCGCAACGAGCGCAACCCUUGCCAUUAGUUGCUACGAAAGGGCACUCUAAUGGGACUGCCGGUGACAAACCGGAGGAAGGUGGGGAUGACGUCAAGUCCUCAUGGCCCUUAUAGGUGGGGCUACACACGUCAUACAAUGGCCGGUACAGAGGGUAGCCAACCCGCGAGGGGGAGCCAAUCCCACAAAGCCGGUCGUAGUCCGGAUCGCAGUCUGCAACUCGACUGCGUGAAGUCGGAAUCGCUAGUAAUCGCGGAUCAGCAUGUCGCGGUGAAUACGUUCCCGGGUCUU
rnacentral:rRNA from 1 species